GAACUGAAGAGUUUGAUCAUGGCUCAGAUUGAACGCUGGCGGCAGGCCUAACACAUGCAAGUCGAGCGGAUGAAGGGRGCUUGCUCCUGGAUUCAGCGGCGGACGGGUGAGUAAUGCCUAGGAAUCUGCCUGGUAGUGGGGGAUAACGUCCGGAAACGGGCGCUAAUACCGCAUACGUCCUGAGGGAGAAAGUGGGGGGUCUUCGGACCUCACGCUAUCAGAUGAGCCUAGGUCGGAUUAGCUAGUUGGUGGGGUAAAGGCCUACCAAGGCGACGAUCCGUAACUGGUCUGAGAGGAUG
rnacentral:rRNA from 1 species